CCCCUCUCAGGGUCGCACCUGGAGAAUUUCCAGUCCUCUACCAGCCUCGAUUUCGGGAGGGAGAGUCAAGCAGAGGCCUGUCCAUUCCAUUCCUAGCUUGGCCAGUGGCUAGUGAGUGGCAGGCAAUCUGCUGUAAAU
rnacentral:snoRNA from 1 species